CUCUUCUAAAAUUCUCGAUCAACUAUCAAGUCUAAUCUGCAAUGGAAUCGAAUGACCAUUGUGAACAAGAUCAAACUGAAAUGGUUAAGAGACUUAAAAAGAAAAAGAAAACUAUCGGAAGAGUUUUGUCAAAACAAAAAGACAAAGCAAAAAAAAAAAGAUUGGCAGCGAUAAAGGAAUGAAUUUACAAGUUGUUGGCUGAUACUUAAAUUGAAAAUCUAUUUUUAAACUUUAGAUUAAGUAUGGGAAUGUUACAAAGAAAAAGUCUUGUGGACCUCCAGCUGAUUGGGAUUUGCACUGGGGUAGUAUGAGUGAAAAGGAGCAAAGAAAUCUCUCUAGGCGUCAAAGUCAUGCAGUAGCAUCAUUGUUAAAAAAGAUGGAGGACAUGGAAACCCAAUUUGGAGCCAGUAUUUUGGCAAACAUACGUUUCCCAAAUGGAUCUCAACAAUAACUUUAUACAAUGAAAGUUGGUGAAGGAAUCAAGUUUACUGAAACCAGUGAAGGCUUGUUGUUUAUUUUAUCCUUCAAACGUUACUUCAAUACGAUUCAGAGUAAAAUAUAGUAUGUCUUUAAAAUUUCAGUAUUUAUUAAUCAUAAUUUUGUCGACACUUUAUAGAAAGGAGAAUUGAGACUGUAGAGGAAGUAAGAGGACUUUCCACGAAGAAAAAAAAGUGUUUUGCAGACAAACGGGUAAGGAAGGAGCUCCGAAAGGAUAAGACUACAACUCUACCUGAAUAUUCAGAUUCAGAAUCAGCAUAUGAAUUCAAGAGUGAUGAAGAAGGAAAUAGUGUUCAAGAAGGAAAUAGUCGUCAAGAAGUAAACAGUG